rnacentral:rRNA from 1 species
CAGUCGCCGCGGGAACACGAAGGGUGCAAGCGUUACUCGGAAUUACUGGGCGUAAAGCGUGCGUAGGUGGUGGUUUAAGUCCGUUGUGAAAGCCCUGGGCUCAACCUGGGAAUUGCAGUGGAUACUGGGUCACUAGAGUGUGGUAGAGGAUAGUGGAAUUUCCGGUGUAGCAGUGAAAUGCGUAGAGAUCGGAAGGAACAUCUGUGGCGAAGGCGACUAUCUGGGCCAACACUGACACUGAGGCACGAAAGCGUGGGGAGCAAACAGGAUUAGAGACCCGCGUAGUCCCUGUCUCUUAUAC